AUCUAUUUCCUGGUUUUGUGAGUAAAGCUUGUGAGCACCUCGGCUGCAGAGUUAUCAUUUGACCAAUGCAGAAACAAGAUGUUUCACACUUGUGAGUUUAGUCGACACGUUCAAAGGGUGUUAAAGCGUCUGAGUGUCAGGAUCCUUAAUAGAUCUGAUGKUUCCUCUAAAUGUCUCAGUUUAAAAUAACUUCUGCCUCAGUUCAGCUCUGAUCUCAAAGAACAGAGAGAUGUGGAGCCAUCGACACAUCAUCAUCUGCACAGCUCUGAGUUUUGUGAUCAGUGCUAAAGGUUUGAUCCAUGUGUUUGGAUACGASGGCAGAAGUGURAAKRUUUCCUGCUCAUAUGAUAGGAGCUAUAAGGAAAAUGAAAAGUACUUUUGYAAGAAUGACUGUGGCUCCAGUGAUGUUCUCAUUACAACAAAACAGAAAAAUARGGACAAAUAUUMCAUYACUGAUGAUAAGAAGAACAGAGUUGUCAAAGUGACCAUCUCUGGUUUUCGAUCACAUGAUGCUGGGAAAUACUGGUGUGGAGUCAGUAGGUGGAGAAAUGAUCUCUACACUGAAGUAAAACUGCACAUAAAAAAAGACAGAUGCUGCGACACGGUGAAACAAACCCAAAGUACUGAGGAAGGUUCAGUGACCAUCAGCUGUCCGUACGACUCUCAGUCUGUCGACAAGCUGAAGUUCUUCUGCAGAGGAAACCGGCCCUCCACAUG